AAAUGAAUUGACGGGGGCCCGCACAAGCGGUGGAGCAUGUGGUUUAAUUCGAUGAUACGCGAGGAACCUUACCAGGGCUUAAAUGUAGUAUGACAGGUUUAGAGAUAGACUUUCCUUCGGGCAUAUUGCAAGGUGCUGCAUGGUUGUCGUCAGCUCGUGCCGUGAGGUGUCAGGUUAAGUCCUAUAACGAGCGCAACCCCUGUUGUUAGUUGCCAGCGAGUCAUGUCGGGGACUCUAGCAAGACUGCCGGUGCAAACCGCGAGGAAGGUGGGGACGACGUCAAAUCAUCACGGCCCUUACGCCCUGGGCCACACACGUGCUACAAUGGCCGGUACAGAGAGCAGCCAUGCCGCAAGGCAGAGCGAAUCUACAAAACCGGUCACAGUUCGGAUCGGGGCCUGCAACUCGGCCCCGUGAAGCUGGAAUCGCUAGUAAUCGGAUAUCAGCCAUGAUCCGGUGAAUACGUUCCCGGGCCUUGUACACACCGCCCGU
rnacentral:rRNA from 1 species